UGAGAGAUGAUGAGAAUGAGAGAUGAUGAGAAUGAGAGUUGAUGAGAAUGAGAGUUGAUGAGAAUGAGAGAUGAUGAGAAUGAGAGUUGAUCAGAAUGAGAGAUGAUGAGAAUGAGAGUUGAUGAGAAUGAGAGUUGGUGAGAAUGAGAGAUGAUGAGAAUGAGAGAUGAUGAGAAUGAGAGUUGAUGAGAAUGAGAGAUGAUGAGAAUGAGAGUUGAUGAGAAUGAGAGAUGAUGAGAAUGAGAGAUGAUGAGAAUGAGAGUUGAUGAGAAUGAGAGAUGAUGAGAAUGAGAGUUGAUCAGAAUGAGAGAUGAUGAGAAUGAGAGAUGAUGAGAAUGAGAGUUGAUGAGAAUGAGAGAUGAUGAGAAUGAGAGAUGAUGAGAAUUGAUGAGAAUGAGAGAUGAUGAGAAUGAGAGAUGAUGUGAAUGAGAGAUGAUGAGAAUGGAGAUGAUGAGAAUGAGAGAUGAUGAGAAUGAGAGUUGAUGAGAAUGAGAGUUGAUGAGAAUGAGAGUUGAUGAGAAUGAGAGAU